rnacentral:misc_RNA from 1 species
GGAAGUAAAAGUCGUAACAGGGUUUCCGUAGGUGAACCUGCGGAAGGAUCAUUAUUGUAUAACCGAGGUGCGAGGGCUGUCGCUGACCCGAAAGGUCGUGCACGCCCGAGUGCCCUCACACACAUCCAUCUCACCCCUAUGUGCACCACCGCGUGGGUCCCCCUUUGGCUUGUUCGGAGGGGGGCUUACGUUUUCACACAAACUUUGUAUGCAGUGUAGAAUGUAUUUUUUGUUUUUGCGAUCACGCAAUCAAUACAACUUUCAACAACGGAUCUCUUGGCUCUC